ACCAAAUUACUACCAGCCAAAUUGUUUCCAGCUUUAUUGAUGAUCUCCACAGCCUCUUGAGAAUCUGAUUCUAGAAUGAUACGCAUGUACCCUUUUUCCACUCCCAACCCUAACCCUUCAUACAUUUCCCAUAUUUCUGCCAGAAACGCGCUGCUACGACCCACCCGUUUGACAAAACCACCACACCAAUUUUCGGAGCUAUCUCGAAUAAUCCCCCUUGGGACUGCUAGCACCAUCCACAUUAAUUUUAAAAAUAUUACUCUGCGGGCACUUCCAAUGAAUAAGUCUUUCGACCCUAUACCUCUCCAUAAUUCUGGUAUUUAUGGUGCGAGUUUCGUAAUACUCCUUCACCUUCUUUGCUAUAGAAUUCUGAAUACUGUCAGGUCGCAAAAAAUUGGUAUCGUGGGUUUCUUUGUUGCGCCACUCCCACAACGAAUGACAUCCAGUUGCCCAAUUCACACACCACUCCUCUCCCCCCUAAAAGAGUCAUUAGUGUUAAGCAAAAUCCAAUUCUACAAAUCCACGUUGUAAAAAUCCUGAGCAAUGCUAGCAGGAAUCCUAUUAUUCCAAACGUCCUUAGCGAAUUUACAAUCUCUCAUAGCAUGCAGCGCAUCUUUAUAAGUGCAACCACAUAGACGAUAACUCGCAGUCCCGAUUCCAUAUGUACUCAUUCUCUCUCUAGUCAGAAUCCUAUCAUGCUUUAACAUCCAAAUCAAACACUUCACUCUCUCUUGAACUUUCAGCUCCCAAAUGCGCCUCCAUAUUUUGCUAUCACUCGAAUCAUUAUCGUCCAUCAAGUAGCUAUACAUACUUCUAAUGGUAAAAGACUUGUCUUCCUCUGUUGCAACCAGACACCUAUCCCUCCUUCCAUCAAAAAUAGGAGGAUAAAUAGCAACAAUUCAGCUUUUUAAAUCCUGAGGCAACCAAUCAAUCAUCCCCCAGUUCCAAUCCCCACUAUCACUCACCAGAUCACAAAUUUUUGCUUCACUAUCCUGCGAAAUAUUCACCAUGUAAUCCAUAAUACUCUUACCUUUCUCUAUCCAAAAGUCCUUCCAAGCAUGAAUACUUUUUCCAUCACCAAUGUUCCAUAUGCUUGUUUCCAUUAAUGUAGGACUCAUGUUCACAAUGGCUUUCCAAAGCUUAUAAUCCGUGCUCUUCACCUCCAAAUUACUACUAUCCGUAUCAACUUUAUAUUUCCUCUUAAAACUUUACACCAUGGAUCAUCAGCUUAUUAGCUAUCUUGCUUCCCAAUUUCAUGAUACAAACCUGAUUCAUAACUUCGAAAUCUCGCAGCCCUAAACCACCAUCACUUUUAUGGAGACAACUCGAUCCUAGCUAACCACAUGAUACUUCUUCUUCUGAUAUGUAUCUCCCUAAAUUAAAUUUCUCUGAAGUUUCUGGAUCUCCUUAAUGCACACCUUCGGAAGCAUAUUUGUCAUGUUUUUAUAACUUUUCCUUCCCAUAUUAAUUACUAUCUCCACUACAAGAAAUACUGUCUCCAGCGACAUAAAUUAGAGACGUGUAAGUCAUGUGGGUAAUUAUUGCCAUUUGCGACGUGAUAACCACAUCGCUACAUGUUUUUAAAUUUUAAAUAAAUUUAUUAACAUAAAGUAAAGAGGAGUCAGACAUUGGGGUGUGUAAAAAACGUUGCGACGUGGGAUACACGUCACUAUAUUAAGUUUAAAAAUUGAAAUAGAAAAAGUUAUAACAUUCACGUAGGGGAGAAGAUUCAAAUUUUAAAAAUUUUAGUUGUGACAUUACAAACACGUCGCAACUUUUAGAGGGAAAAUACAACGUUCCACUAAACUGACAUGGUGGCAGCAUUGCAGGCAGAAACAUUAAUUAAUGUUACCGUUGACAUGUUGCGACGUGAGUCUCACGUGGCAAGGUUGCGACGUGAUUCUCACGUGGCUGAUUAGUUUAUUUAUUCAUGCAUUUUGCUUCUUCCCCUUCUAUUACACCUUUACCAUUUCAAACCAUUAAGUUUCAUUCUUCCUCUGCAACGUAUAAUCCCAGAAUUUCCUCCUCUCCCAAAAUCCCCAAAUUUUCAAUCCCACUACAAGAGAGAAGAAGAUGAAGGAGGAGAAAAAGGUGAAGGAGAAGAAGAAGAAGGAGGAGUAGAUUGAAGAAGAGUUUAAAAGAGUUCAGGAUGGAGAGGGUGGAUCGCGUCAACCAAAUGUGACACGGGAACAAACUGAAUUAAUAAGGCAAUUGGCGAGACGCGAAAAUGAGACCCAGAUGGAGAUGAUGCGGAAGAAGCAAUCUGAUAUGGAGGAGCAGCAUGCGCGGCAGAUAGAGGGCAUUCUGAAGAAGCAAGCUGAGAUGGAGGAGCAGAUGAGACGAUUUAUGCAAGGAGGUGAAAAUUACAGUAAUGUUCCUCAUCAAGAGUCGGAGGAUGACGGAGUGGAUGAUGAUUUUAAUCCUGAUAAUUAUUUUCCAAAUGAUGA